ensembl:lncRNA
CAAUUAUUACCAAUUCUUAUUAUGAUAAAUGAAGCUUAGGCGAAAAUUCAGUCAUUAAGACUGGACAGGCUGUGCCGUUCCAUGGUGGCCUCCUCUCUCGGGUAGUACCAGCCAACGAGACGUGGGUGUCGUUACCGUAAACCAAUUGCAUCGGUGCAGGUGUAGCAGGAUGACCGUGUCCGAGCCGCCCGCACCUCCAACACUCCUGCCCCGGCGCUUGAGAACCUCUCUGUGGGUUGGGAAGGGUGCCUGGGUCCCCCGAGGCCGGUGGGUCAAGGGCUGGGGAAACAGGCGCCAGCCGUGGAGCCGGUGUGGGUUGCUCCGCCGACCGUGGUGGCCUCCCUCCCCGCGGUAGAGCUCCUGGUUGGGCCGACCCCGGCGGACUCUCUCGGUCCCUCUGCCCGCUGGGAUGCACCGCCAGGUGGUCCUCCGCCAGGGAGAUGGCCGCCUCCAGGGUCGCUGGUCGGUGGCACCGGACCCACGCUGCCGUCCGGACCGGGAGCCUCUCCCCAAACUGCUCCUGCACCACCUUCGCCAUCACGCCGUGGACCCCUCCUGCCGCGUCCGGCUGCAACCACCUUGCAGCGGCGUCCUUCAGCCACUAGCCGUACGCGAAUAGUCUGGCCUCGCGGAAUCUCCGGCAGUGGUCCUCCGGCAACAGCCCCAGCCUAUCCACCACGGCCCUUUUAACGUUGUCGUAGACGCGCCGUGCCCCAUGGCUGCGGUCUGCACCUCUCCGGCCAGUAGAGGCAAAAGCCGGACUGGCCACUCUCCCGCCGGCCAACCGCACGUCUCCGCCGUCGCCUCGAAGGCCUCCAGAAAUACCUGGACGUCGUCCCCUGCUGACGUCCGGUGGAGCGUGAGACCGGUGAGCGUCGCGGGCCCCUGCAUCGGCGGCACAGCCACGGCCAGCUGCUUCAGCGCCUGGGCUUGUCUCCCCACCUGGGCCUGGAGCGCCCCCAGGAACUGCCGGUUGGCGUCCGCCUGCUCCCUCAGGAUGGCAGCCAGGUCGCCGAUCAUGCGACCAAGCGACCAAGCGCCACAAUCGGCUGGGCUGCCAUCCCCUACUGGUGGUUGUCGUCCGCCGCUUCCAUCCCCCAGUCACGUUGGGCCGCACUGUAACGUGCGGUCCUUGGGGGAACGUGGAAAGACGAGGAAAUAGCGUGGCAUUUUAACAGUCUUUAUUUUGCAGGUCCCUAUUUUGCCUUAAACGACGUGCGUCCGGCUCCAGCCAGACUCUCUCUCUGUCCUGUCGCCGGAUCUCCCCUUCUUAAGGCAGAACAUAGAGACAUCGUUAAUUCCACCUGAUGCCAUUUAUGCCUCCUCCGGGCACCGUUCCCCGAGCCACUCCCAUCUCCGUCCCGUCUGCAGCUGCGCCAAACCACGGCCGCCACCACACCAACCUCCUAGAUAAGAAGAAACGCUUCAGACUGAAGAAGCAUGUGACAGCUCUUAGAAAGUUGAUCGAUAGAGACGGAGGGAAAAGUUGCGGAUCAGUGAUUGAUUUUUUAUGUUACAGUUCCCGUUUUAUGACUGUGUAGCCGUGAUAGCGCUACCACCGGUGGGUUCUUGUAAAGACGCACGACACAGGAUGAGGGUAACCAGACUUUUAUUGUCCAAAAGGGAAGACAGUGAGCAGGAAUGAGUUCGCACUAUGCGCGUGGUCGGUUUCGCCUUGUCCGGCUCCGCUC